rnacentral:rRNA from 1 species
UACAGAGAGUGCAAGCGUUAAUCGGAAUUACUGGGCGUAAAGCGCGCGUAGGUGGAUAUUUAAGUCGGAUGUGAAAGCCCUUGGCUUAACCUAGGAAUUGCAUCCGAUACUGGGUAUCUAGAGUAUGGUAGAGGGUAGUGGAAUUUCCGGUGUAGCGGUGAAAUGCGUAGAUAUCGGAAAGAACAUCAGUGGCGAAGGCGGCUACCUGGACUAAUACUGACACUGAGGUGCGAAAGCGUGGGGAGCAAACAGG